rnacentral:lncRNA from 1 species
GAUGCAAAUCUUGCACCCGCGCAUGCUUAUGUUAAGGCUGGAGAGAAGCUUUAAGCUUGGGCGUGUUAUUAGGCAGAUGUUGCACUGAGAGGGCAUGUCAUUCAAUUGUAUUGCCUGACCUCGUGUCGCAGAAGCUUAUGCGCACUCCCUGUUGCAAGGAGUUUGGAUCCGGUCGAUGAUACAUGUCUAGCUUGGGCUUGUGCUUAUGUUGAGGCUGGAGAUGAG